ensembl:lncRNA
CCCCAAGCAGCUUUAAGAUUCCGCUUCUCCUGUAAGUGAGGAAGAACAGAAGAUCUUUGGUGGGAAAGCUGACCAUUGAAGUGACAAGAUGAGUGUCGUUGGCAAAGCACUCCAAAAGAGGGCUUGGAGGAUUUUGGAUGCUUCCUUCCCACAUUGGAAACUGAUUUGCUGAGGGAGAGACAGGCUGCCUCGGGCAGGGAGGUGUUAGACAAACAACAAAAGGGAAAGGUGCAAAGAGGGAACAAAUGGAAACUCAUUUAGCACAUAAUGAAGGUGCUGAGAAGAAAAUUAAUCAAAGCUCUGAAGGAAAGGGAGAGAAACUCUUUCAUCUCCUCCUCCACCAAAGAUCCAGUUUGUCUCUCACAAGGAACGCUUUCCAGACAAUCCUGGCUGCUGUUUUUAAAAGGAGAGCAUAGAAAGCAGGAGGAGAAAAGCAGAGCCUGGUUCAACAUGGUGGCCUAUCCGAGAGCAGGGCUGCAAGGAGCUGCUGUAUAAGGGUGGUAGACCAGAGCCCAGCAGGGGAAUUUCUCAAUGCUGGUGACUGAAUUCAGCUUAGAAAAAGCUUAAGGAGGCACUUUGCCACGUUAUACCUGGCAUUCUUCAACUAAUAGCAGUCCUCCCCUGUAUCCUCCCAAGAGCAUUUUGAAAAUCCAGUAUUACUUCUAUACACCACCAAGACAGUGCCGGAAUAAAGGUCUCAAAACUUUCAUUAAACCCUUCAAAACUAAAUGGCUUCACCACGCCAUUAGGAACGUGCCAUGACCCAGGGCCACCUUGUCACCCCAUCCCAUUGCAUUACUGCUGCACUGUGAUGUGCUGCUGCGGAGCACCGCAGAGCAUCAGAGCAUUCGGCUGCAGCUCCUGCCAACAGAAGGCAGCGUGACUUUGCUGUCAGGACUGUGGGGUG